rnacentral:misc_RNA from 1 species
ACAAACUUGGUCAUUUAGAGGAAGUAAAAGUCGUAACAAGGCUUCCGUAGGUGAACCUGCGGAAGGAUCAUUAAGGAGUGACUUUGGCCCCGGACGGGGCCGGUUACCCGACCAUAAUGUCAUUUGGGCUGGGAGAAGGGGAGCUUGCGUAGCGGGAAUGCGGCUGAGAGGUCGGCAGACCCGGGAGCUCCUCGGACACCAGCAAAGGAUAUUUCGGCGGAAGCGGCAGGGGUUAUGUCUGUGAAAGGACGGACGCCCUGCCGGCCGCCGGCUGUAUUUCCAAGUCUUAUUGCGAGAAGAUUGAAGUCAUUGACGUGCUCGAGCACGGAAACGAAAAGAGAAAGCAAAACUUUCAACAACGGAUCUCUUGGCUCUGGCAUCGAUGAAGAACGCAGC